UUUAAAACAGGGUNUACCCGGUAAGCUAGCGCUAGAUGUGCAUGUUGAUCGGGAGCCAGGUAGAGGUUACUCGCUGGCAGGAGAGUGGCGUACGGCUGAGGAAUACAUCGGAAUCUACUUGUUCGUGGGGGAUAACGUAGGGAAACUUACGCUAAUACCGCAUACGACCUAAGGGUGAGAGAACGGGAUCUUCGGACCUUGCACAAGUGAAUGAGCCGAAGUCGGAUUAUCUAGAUGGAGGGGCACAGGCCCACCACGGUCACUAUCCGGACCGGGACGGAGAUGAUGAUCACUGACACUGAAACUGAGACCCGACCCAUACUCCAAGGGGAGGCGGCAAAGAUUAAUAUUGGACAGAGAGCGCGAGCCUGACCCACCCAUAGCGCGAGGAUGAACAUGGGCUUCGGGUUGUAAUUCCCUUUUGUUGGAAAACAAAUCCCGCUGGCUAAUACGCGGUUGCGAUGACGGUACCCAAAGAAUAAGCACCGGCUAACUUCGUGCCAGCAGCCGCGGUAAUACGAAGGGUGCAAAUGUUACUCGGAAUUACUGGGCGUAAAGCGUGCGGAGGUGGACGUUUAAGUUCAUUGUGAAAGCCCUGGGCUCAGCCUGGGAACUGCAAUGGAUACUGUGCAACUAGAGUGUGGGAGAUGGAAGCGGAAUUCCUGGUGUACCAGUGAAAUGCAUAGAGAUCAAGAUGAACAUCCAUGGCGAAGGCCUCUACCUGGACCAACACUGACACUGAGGCACGAGAGCGUGGGGAGCAAACAGGAUUAGAUACCCUGCUAGUCCAAGCCCUACACGAUGCGAACUGGAUGUUGGGUGCAAUUUGGCACGCAGUAUCAAAGCUAACGCUUGAACUUCGCCGCCUGAGGAGUACAGUCGCAAGACUGAAACUCAAAGGAGUUGACGCGCGCCCUCACAAGCGGUGGAGUAUGUAUUUAAUUCAAUGCUACACGGAUAACCUUACCUGGCCUUGACAUGACAAUAACUUUUCAGAUAU
rnacentral:rRNA from 1 species